AUGCAAGUCGAACGAUAUUAAGGGGCUUGCUCCUUAAGAAAGUGGCGCACGGGUGCGUAACGCGUAUGCAACCUACCUUAAUCUGGGGGAUAGCCCGGAGAAAUCCGGAUUAAUACCGCAUAAAAUCACAGGAUGGCAUUAUCCAAUGAUCAAACAUUUAUGGGAUUGAGAUGGGCAUGCGUGUCAUUAGCUAGUUGGCGGGGUAACGGCCCACCAAGGCGACGAUGACUAGGGGAUCUGAGAGGAUGGCCCCCCACACUGGUACUGAGACACGGACCAGACUCCUACGGGAGGCAGCAGUAAGGAAUAUUGGUCAAUGGAGGCAACUCUGAACCAGCCAUGCCGCGUGCAGGAAGACUGCCCUAUGGGUUGUAAACUGCUUUUAUCCGGGAAUAAACCUAAGUACGUGUACUUAGCU
rnacentral:rRNA from 1 species